GUAGGUGGCAAGCGUUGUCCGGAAUUAUUGGGCGUAAAGCGCGCGCAGGCGGUCCUUUAAGUCUGAUGUGAAAGCCCACGGCUCAACCGUGGAGGGUCAUUGGAAACUGGGGGACUUGAGUACAGGAGAGGAAAGCGGAAUUCCAAGUGUAGCGGUGAAAUGCGUAGAGAUUUGGAGGAACACCAGUGGCGAAGGCGGCUUUCUGGUCUGUAACUGACGCUGAGGCGCGAAAGCGUGGGGAGCAAACAGGAUUAGAUACCCUGGUAGUCCACGCCGUAAACGAUGAGUGCUAAGUGUUAGGGGGUUUCCCGCCCCCCUUAGUGCUGCAGCUAACGCAUUAAGCACUCCGCCUGGGGAGUACGGCCGCAAGGCUG
rnacentral:rRNA from 1 species